GACAUAGGUGGCGAACGUUAUCCGGAUUUAUUGGGCGUAAAGCAUCCGUAGCCGGUUCUACAAGUCUUCCGUUAAAUCCAGCUGCUUAACAGAUGGGCUGCGGAAGAUACUAUGGAGCUAGGAGGCGGGAGAGGCAAGCGGUACUCGAUGGGUAGGGGUAAAAUCCGUUGAUCCAUUGAAGACCACCAGUGGCGAAGGCGGCUUGCCAGAACGCGCUCGACGGUGAGGGAUGAAAGCUGGGGGAGCAAACCGG
rnacentral:rRNA from 1 species